AAAGUAAGGCUUGGCGGUGUGUGUGUCUGUGUGUGUGUGUGUUUGUGUGCGUGGUUUCUUGUGUGAGUCGACCCUACACUGUAGUCCUCGCCAGCGCAACACGCCCCACCUUCGUGUGUGGCACCUCUGCCUCCACUACCCGUCAAGUUUUUUUCUCUCGCGAGCGGAAGAGUUGUGGGUAAACCUAUCGACCAGAGAUGCUCAAACUCGGAGGUCUUGUGCGCGUGAAGCCGCCUGCUGCCCAGUGCUGCCUACCGUCAGUCUGUCGCGCAACUCAACGCUACGCGGCCUCAGCGCCUGGAAAGUGGAAGUGCGCAUGCGGCCUCCACAACUUCAACUUUCACUCCGAAUGCUACAGCUGCCACAAGAAGCGCACUGACCUUCCUGCCACAAAGCCCGUAUCGCCGUUGUCGCUUCUGGGCGAUAUGCGGAUGGAUGAUGUCGACUCGACCGAUGCGCACACCAGCAGCACUGCGGAGGGUGAGGCUUGCCCUGUCGAAGGUACCUGGAUGUGUCCGGCCUGCUACACCUUCAACGGCUCGCAACGGGUGGUGUGCACUCACUGUCUGGAGACGCGACCGCGCUUGCAGCCGCGCGGAGCGGCAAGGACGCGAUUGGGCACUCACAAAAGCGGCUUUGGAAAGGUUGCUGCGGACUCUUCCCUUCCUUCCACGGUGUCCGACACGGCGGCGGCAGUGGCGGCGCUCUCUUCUACGCACUCUGACGAGUCUGUGCCUCCACAGCCAUUCCUGAUGGGAGACUGGCACUGCGCAUGUGGCGCGCAUAACUUCUCGCGCAACACGCAUUGUCGCAAGUGCCUUAAGCCUCACACGUCAAACACGUCCGCAACGACGGAGGAGAGGCUGUUGAAGAGCCAUCCUGGUGACUGGGCGUGCCCGGCGUGCGAAAUGUACAACUUCUCUUGGCGAAAGGUGUGUAAGCGCUGCAGCCGAGCACAGCCACCGGCCGGCACAGAGUCCUUCUCCGCUCAACAAGACUCCGACGUGACGACGGGGAUGGCGGCUGGUUGGGUCUGCCAAGCAUGCCACUCCCUCAACCCUGCCGACGAUGCCGUGAUGUGCGUGAUUUGUGGUAGCCCAAAGCAUGCGUGAAAGUGUGCGGCACCUCUGCGUGACGAGAAUACAUGUGAAGGCGAUGGCAGUCAUGAGCUGCGCAUGGUGUUCUCAUCGCUCAUGGUCCACGCGGAGAUGGCUUGUGCCCCACCACUGUUGCUGGUUGCGCCCCUUUCUGUCGCAUAGCACUUUUCACACACAGAUCGCGUCACAAACACACCAGCAU
rnacentral:misc_RNA from 1 species